ACAGUUCAUUAAUUUGACAGAUGUUACAGGCUGCCCUAUAUGAGACAUAUAAUAUUAAAAUUAGGCUGUAUAAAAUAAGCCUUUCAUGUAAGUUUCCAUGUUUUCCUAGUUCGAGGCACGUGUUUUCCAUCGGGGGAAAAAAUCGGUUAAAGCUUCUAAUUUGGUCAGAUGUUACACUUGCGGCGCGGCGAUCGCUAAAGCAGUCUCUGAUCUCCCCUGUGGCUUUGGUGGAAUGGAACAGCAAAAAAGACCAGCUGUUUUAAACAAAGAGUCGGAUGGUGACGCCUUUCCUGGAUUCAGACUGACAUCGUCAUGCCGGAACACCAGACUCCAGAAAAUAUCAGAAAUCUGCUGGAAAUCCACAAACCUACAGCUGUUCCAACACUAUGAGAAAUUAAUUUAUUAUGAUCUGUCUGUACUUUUGUUCUUUUCUUAUUAUAUCUUUUAAUUUUUUACUGUUGCUGUUUUUAAAUUAGGUGAAAAAAACAUUUGUUGCAUAUUUGAAUGCAAAAUUUGUAGCAUUAUUCGUCUUCUACAGAUUUUUUUACGCAGUCCCUUGGGAUUGGCCCCCCCCUCUCAGAGGAAUUCACUCCGUCUCAGAGCAGAAUGCCAUUAGAGGUUGUUUUUGGGGGAGCAACAAAGUGCCCAUUCAUUCCCCCAUCUCCACGGGGAUCUGGGCUCGGGGAACAUGUGACCCGAAAGGCCAACCUGAGGAGAGCUAUGAAAACGAACCUGGCUCAGCGCAUGCUGCGAGGCGUGCAGCGGCGCGGCUGAACAACGUGCAAGGGUUCGAAUCAGGGAGGAAGCUUCGCAUAAACGCCCGGAUCCGCCGGGGUAGCUCAUGCACCGUUUUCAUACCAUUUAAUCUACAGUGCAACUUUAGAAAAUGUGAAAAAGAGUGACAGCGAGAGUGAGAGCAAGAGAGAGAGAGAGAAUAAGCUGGACAAUACUGAAACGGAGCACAGUGUAUUUGCUCUAAAGUGUGGAUUCUGCCAUCAAUGUGUGUAUAUGUAAUAAAAUUAUAU